rnacentral:rRNA from 1 species
UUAAGCGACUAAGCGUACACGGUGGAUGCCCUGGCAGUCAGAGGCGAUGAAGGACGUGCUAAUCUGCGAUAAGCGUCGGUAAGGUGAUAUGAACCGUUAUAACCGGCGAUUUCCGAAUGGGGAAACCCAGUGUGUUUCGACACACUAUCAUUAACUGAAUCCAUAGGUUAAUGAGGCGAACCGGGGGAACUGAAACAUCUAAGUACCCCGAGGAAAAGAAAUCAACCGAGAUUCCCCCAGUAGCGGCGAGCGAACGGGGAGCAGCCCAGAGCCUGAAUCAGUGUGUGUGUUAGUGGAAGCGUCUGGAAAGGCGCGCGAUACAGGGUGACAGCCCCGUACACAAAAAUGCACAUGCUGUGAGCUCGAUGAGUAGGGCGGGACACGUGGUAUCCUGUCUGAAUAUGGGGGGACCAUCCUCCAAGGCUAAAUACUCCUGACUGACCGAUAGUGAACCAGUACCGUGAGGGAAAGGCGAAAAGAACCCCGGCGAGGGGAGUGAAAAAGAACCUGAAACCGUGUACGUACAAGCAGUGGGAGCACGCUUAGGCGUGUGACUGCGUACCUUUUGUAUAAUGGGUCAGCGACUUAUAUUCUGUAGCAAGGUUAACCGAAUAGGGGAGCCGAAGGGAAACCGAGUCUUAACUGGGCGUUAAGUUGCAGGGUAUAGACCCGAAACCCGGUGAUCUAGCCAUGGGCAGGUUGAAGGUUGGGUAACACUAACUGGAGGACCGAACCGACUAAUGUUGAAAAAUUAGCGGAUGACUUGUGGCUGGGGGUGAAAGGCCAAUCAAACCGGGAGAUAGCUGGUUCUCCCCGAAAGCUAUUUAGGUAGCGCCUCGUGAAUUCAUCUCCGGGGGUAGAGCACUGUUUCGGCAAGGGGGUCAUCCCGACUUACCAACCCGAUGCAAACUGCGAAUACCGGAGAAUGUUAUCACGGGAGACACACGGCGGGUGCUAACGUCCGUCGUGAAGAGGGAAACAACCCAGACCGCCAGCUAAGGUCCCAAAGUCAUGGUUAAGUGGGAAACGAUGUGGGAAGGCCCAGACAGCCAGGAUGUUGGCUUAGAAGCAGCCAUCAUUUAAAGAAAGCGUAAUAGCUCACUGGUCGAGUCGGCCUGCGCGGAAGAUGUAACGGGGCUAAACCAUGCACCGAAGCUGCGGCAGCGACGCUUAGGCGUUGUUGGGUAGGGGAGCGUUCUGUAAGCCUGCGAAGGUGUGCUGUGAGGUAUGCUGGAGGUAUCAGAAGUGCGAAUGCUGACAUAAGUAACGAUAAAGCGGGUGAAAAGCCCGCUCGCCGGAAGACCAAGGGUUCCUGUCCAACGUUAAUCGGGGCAGGGUGAGUCGACCCCUAAGGCGAGGCCGAAAGGCGUAGUCGAUGGGAAACAGGUUAAUAUUCCUGUACUUGGUGUUACUGCGAAGGGGGGACGGAGAAGGCUAUGUUGGCCGGGCGACGGUUGUCCCGGUUUAAGCGUGUAGGCUGGUUUUCCAGGCAAAUCCGGAAAAUCAAGGCUGAGGCGUGAUGACGAGGCACUACGGUGCUGAAGCAACAAAUGCCCUGCUUCCAGGAAAAGCCUCUAAGCAUCAGGUAACAUCAAAUCGUACCCCAAACCGACACAGGUGGUCAGGUAGAGAAUACCAAGGCGCUUGAGAGAACUCGGGUGAAGGAACUAGGCAAAAUGGUGCCGUAACUUCGGGAGAAGGCACGCUGAUAUGUAGGUGAAGUCCCUCGCGGAUGGAGCUGAAAUCAGUCGAAGAUACCAGCUGGCUGCAACUGUUUAUUAAAAACACAGCACUGUGCAAACACGAAAGUGGACGUAUACGGUGUGACGCCUGCCCGGUGCCGGAAGGUUAAUUGAUGGGGUCAGCGCAAGCGAAGCUCUUGAUCGAAGCCCCGGUAAACGGCGGCCGUAACUAUAACGGUCCUAAGGUAGCGAAAUUCCUUGUCGGGUAAGUUCCGACCUGCACGAAUGGCGUAAUGAUGGCCAGGCUGUCUCCACCCGAGACUCAGUGAAAUUGAACUCGCUGUGAAGAUGCAGUGUACCCGCGGCAAGACGGAAAGACCCCGUGAACCUUUACUAUAGCUUGACACUGAACAUUGAGCCUUGAUGUGUAGGAUAGGUGGGAGGCUUUGAAGUGUGGACGCCAGUCUGCAUGGAGCCGACCUUGAAAUACCACCCUUUAAUGUUUGAUGUUCUAACGUGGACCCGUGAUCCGGGUUGCGGACAGUGUCUGGUGGGUAGUUUGACUGGGGCGGUCUCCUCCUAAAGAGUAACGGAGGAGCACGAAGGUUGGCUAAUCCUGGUCGGACAUCAGGAGGUUAGUGCAAUGGCAUAAGCCAGCUUGACUGCGAGCGUGACGGCGCGAGCAGGUGCGAAAGCAGGUCAUAGUGAUCCGGUGGUUCUGAAUGGAAGGGCCAUCGCUCAACGGAUAAAAGGUACUCCGGGGAUAACAGGCUGAUACCGCCCAAGAGUUCAUAUCGACGGCGGUGUUUGGCACCUCGAUGUCGGCUCAUCACAUCCUGGGGCUGAAGUAGGUCCCAAGGGUAUGGCUGUUCGCCAUUUAAAGUGGUACGCGAGCUGGGUUUAGAACGUCGUGAGACAGUUCGGUCCCUAUCUGCCGUGGGCGCUGGAGAACUGAGGGGGGCUGCUCCUAGUACGAGAGGACCGGAGUGGACGCAUCACUGGUGUUCGGGUUGUCAUGCCAAUGGCACUGCCCGGUAGCUAAAUGCGGAAGAGAUAAGUGCUGAAAGCAUCUAAGCACGAAACUUGCCCCGAGAUGAGUUCUCCCUGACCCUUUAAGGGUCCUGAAGGAACGUUGAAGACGACGACGUUGAUAGGCCGGGUGUGUAAGCGCAGCGAUGCGUUGAGCUAACCGGUACUAAUGAACCGUGAGGCUUAACCUU